UACGUAGGGGGCAAGCGUUGUCCGGAUUUAUUGGGCGUAAAGAGCGUGUAGGCGGCCGUACAGGUCAGCUGUGAAAACUCGAGGCUCAACCUCGAGACGUCGGUUGAAACCGUACGGCUAGAGUCCGGAAGAGGAGAGUGGAAUUCCUGGUGUAGCAGUGAAAUGCGUAGAUAUCAGGAGGAAUACCGGUGGUGUAGACGGCUAUCUGGACCGUAACUGACGCUGAGGCACGAAAGCGUGGGUAGCAAACAGG
rnacentral:rRNA from 1 species